rnacentral:rRNA from 1 species
CCUACGGGAGGCAGCAGUGAGGAAUAUUGGUCAAUGGGCGGAAGCCUGAACCAGCCAAGUCGCGUGAGGGAUUAAGGCCCUGCGGGUCGUAAACCUCUUUUGCCGGGGAGCAGUGGUCCGGACGAGUCCGGGCCGGGAGAGUACCCGGAGAAAAAGCAUCGGCUAACUCCGUGCCAGCAGCCGCGGUAAUACGGAGGAUGCGAGCGUUACCCGGAUUUAUUGGGUUUAAAGGGUGCGUAGGAGGGCAUUUAAGCCGGCGGUCAAAUGUCGGGGCUCAACCCCGGCCUGCCGUCGGAACUGGGUGCCUUGAGUGGGCGAGAAGUAUGCGGAAUGCGUGGUGUAGCGGUGAAAUGCAUAGAUAUCACGCAGAACCCCGAUUGCGAAGGCAGCAUACCGGCGCCCGACUGACGCUGAGGCACGAAAGUGCGGGUAUCGAACAGGAUUAGAUACCCGUGUAGUC